GAUGAACGCUGGUGGCGUGCCUAAUCCAUGCAAGUCGAACGGAGGGUGUAGCAAUAUGCCCUUAGUGGCGAACGGGUGAGUAACGCGUUGGUGACCUGCCCCGAAGUGUGGGACAACAGUUCGAAAGGACUGCUAAUACCGCAUAUGAUCUUUGAGAUUAGAAGCUUGAAGAUUAAAGGACUUCGGUCCGCUACGGGAGGGGCCUGCGUCCCAUCAGCUAGUUGGUAGGGUAAUGGCUUACCAAGGCGAUGACGGGUAGGGGACCUGAGAGGGUGAACCCCCACAAUGGAACUGAAACACGGUCCAUACACCUACGGGUGGCUG
rnacentral:rRNA from 1 species